GAUGAAGAACGUAGCGAAAUGCGAUAAGUAAUGUGAAUUGCAGAAUUCAGUGAAUCAUCGAGUCUUUGAACGCACAUUGCGCCCUCUGGUAUUCCGGAGGGCAUGCCUGUCCGAGCGUCAUUGCUGCCCUCAAGCACGGCUUGUGUGUUGGGCCCCGUCCUCCUUCCGGGGGACGGGUCCGAAAGGCAGCGGCGGCACCGCGUCCGGUCCUCAAGCGUAUGGGGCUUUGUCACUCGCUUUGUAGGCCUGGCCGGCGCUUGCCGAUCAACCAAACUUUUUAUCAGGUUGACCUCGGAUCAGGUAGGGAUACCCGCUGAACUUAAGCAUAUCAAUAAGCGGAGGA
rnacentral:misc_RNA from 1 species